rnacentral:lncRNA from 1 species
UGGGGAGGGGGGUUGCCGCUGAGCAACUGAGUGCCUUGCAUUGCACUGGGGCCCGUUGUUUGGAGGAUGCUUUUGCCCCAGCACAGCCUGACUCUCAUCCCUUUUGUCUGCAGGGCAAGAGCCGCCCUGCCGGCUGCACCGUCACCUUCCCAACGCCGCCAGAUGUGCCUCCGAGUCGCACUGAGCAGGAGAUCGGCCCAGGGGGUCCUUCCCAGCUGCCUCUGCUGCUGACCCCCAGCCAUCAGCCCCGUGGGAUCCCCAGCCUGCCCCGCUGCUCCUCCAACGGCUCGUGCCGCGGACCGCCGGUUUCCACCCUGCACUCAGCAUGCCCUUUUCUAGUGCAACCGGACCCUCCAAGGAAUCACUCUGGAGCUCGAGGCCAACCUGCAGGGUAAGGUGAUACGGCCGUGGUGCUGUCUCCUUCUGCGCCGGGGCUGCCCACCCAGCUAACGCACGUCUCCCAU